CACUGGAGUGCAUGAUUGAGAUACCAGGGUGGAGAGUCCCCCUUGGGGGUGCAACGACUUAGGGGGUGUGGCGUCACUCCUUGGAGUAGAGAUGGCACCAGCUCUUCCAAAUCACUUAUCACACACCUGUUCCCGCUUGACUCAUCACCGGCUGUAUUUCUGAGGAGCCCUGACAACCCGUCCCCUGAUCGUUCAUCCACAUUCGAUUCCACCAGACGACCAUCGCCAGCUUGUGUACCAACCUCCUGCCCAUCUACGACUACUCUGCCUGCUACCUGCCUGUACCUCUGCUGCCAGCCUGUGUACCAACCCCCUUGCCUGUCCACGACUACUCUGCAUCUGCUCCUGCCCUCGAACCAACCCCGCUACUUCCCCAGCCUUCCCCGCUCACAAUAAAUAAGU
ensembl:lncRNA